UUAGAAAAUCCAUAAACACAU
rnacentral:piRNA from 1 species